AGAGUUUGAUCCUGGCUCAGGAUGAACGCUGGCGGCGUGCUUAACACAUGCAAGUCGAACGGAGUUUAUAAGGAAUGAGUCUUCGGACAAAUGAGAUAUAAACUUAGUGGCGGACGGGUGAGUAACGUGUGGGUAACCUACCCUAUACAGGAGGAUAACAGUAAGAAAUUAUUGCUAAAACUGCAUAAGAUUACGAGUUCGCAUGAACAAGUGAUAAAAACUUUAGUGGUAUAGGAUGGGCCCGCAUCUGAUUAGGUAGUUGGUGGAGUAAAAGCCUACCAAGCCGACGAUCAGUAGCCGAUCUGAGAGGAUGACCGGCCACAUUGGGACUGAGACACGGCCCAAACUCCUACGGGAGGCAGCAGUGGGGAAUAUUGGACAAUGGGGGAAACCCUGAUCCAGCGACGCCGCGUGAGUGAAGAAGUAUUUCGGUAUGUAAAGCUCUAUCAGCAGGGAAGAAAAUGACGGUACCUGACUAAGAAGCCCCGGCUAACUACGUGCCAGCAGCCGCGGUAAUACGUAGGGGGCAAGCGUUAUCCGGAUUUACUGGGUGUAAAGGGAGCGCAGACGGCCAAGCAAGUCUGAAGUGAAAUGCAUGGGCUCAACCCAUGAAUUGCUUUGGAAACUGUUCGGCUUGAGUGUCGGAGGGGUAAGCGGAAUUCCUAGUGUAGCGGUGAAAUGCGUAGAUAUUAGGAGGAACACCGGAGGCGAAGGCGGCUUACUGGACGACAACUGACGUUGAGGCUCGAAGGCGUGGGGAGCAAACAGGAUUAGAUACCCUGGUAGUCCACGCAGUAAACGAUGAAUACUUGGUGUCGGGGAGAUAAACUCUUCGGUGCCGCAAGCAAACGCAUUAAGUAUUCCACCUGGGGAGUACGUUCGCAAGAAUGAAACUCAAAGGAAUUGACG
rnacentral:rRNA from 1 species